GUUCGGAGGGGCUAGAACUGGGUGAUACGCACAGGCUGCGCUGAAUCUGUCUUGUCUCCCCGCCUAGGUGGACAUCGAGGCCAGGUGGGUGGCCCCACAGCGUGGAAGGGAUGACCGAGCUCUGGAAGAUGUCCUGAAAACCUAAGGUGCUGAAGCUAGAAGAGAAUUGACUUCAGAGACCAUCAGGCUGUUUCGUGGAACUUCCACCGAACAGAUGCAGAAAUGGAGACUAAGAAAUGAGACUCCGGGGCUGGAGAAAUGGCUCAGCCAUUAAGAGCACUGACUGCCCUUCCGAAGGUCCUGAGUUCAAAUCCUAGCAACCACAUGGUGGCUCACAAUUAUCUAUGAUGGGGAUCUGAUGCCCUCUUUUGAUGUGUCUGAAGACAGCGAUAGUGUACUGAUAUACAUGAAAUA
ensembl:processed_transcript uncharacterized LOC110331010